rnacentral:tRNA from 1 species
GGGGCUAUAGCUCAGCUGGGAGAGCGCCUGCUUUGCACGCAGGAGGUCUGCCACUUGCAUAGCUCCACCA